GCCGAAGUGGUAAGAAAAUCCCUCGCCGAAAGGCGUGCCGGUUCGAUUCCGGCCUCGGGCACCA
rnacentral:tRNA from 1 species